rnacentral:rRNA from 1 species
CGGCGGACGGGUGAGUAAUGUCUGGGAAACUGCCUGAUGGAGGGGGAUAACUACUGGAAACGGUAGCUAAUACCGCAUAAUGUCUGCGGACCAAAGCGGGGGACCUCCGGGCCUCGCGCCAUCAGAUGAACCCAUAUGGGAUUAGCUUGUAGGUAAGGUAACGGCUUACCUAGGCGACGAUCCCUAGCUGGUCUGAGAGGAUGACCAGCCACACUGGAACUGAGACACGGUCCAG